ACGCUUACAAAAAUUAAUUGUAAAGAGAGAUGCUUUUAAGAGAGGAGAAGACAUCUGGAAGGCCACUGAACUGCAAGGGGAAAAAAACAUCUAUAGCUGUAAAGAGUGCAAGUACAACUCAAAGUGCAGCUGAUGUUGCGAUGGGAGACAAACUCAAAAGAGACCUCCAGAACUUACAAAGGAAAAAAGCAGCACCUGUAACCUCUACUCCAGUGUCAGACGAUUCAGAUAACACUGACAUUGAUCCGUUUGAAAAUACAGAGCAGAGACCAUCAAGGAAAAGGAAGCAGCAUUUUAAUUUCAUAUGAAAUAAUUUUAACAGUUUUUUUGUUUGUUUUUUUUAAAUCAAUCUUGUAUUAAAAUUACUUCAGUCCUGAAAUGGUUUUAUUUACUGAUUUAUUUAUUUAUUUGUAUAAUUGCUCGAUCCGAAUCCUAUUUCAUAGUUUUCUGUAUGUUAAAGAAUAGCUGUUCAAAUUUACAGAAUGCUAGACACAUGCCCGUGUUUAUAAUGAGGAUGUCAUUGGCCACGCUGCCUAAGGUGAUGGGAUACAAAAAUAUUUAGCUGAAAAAAUUAGGCAUGGGCCGAUUACCGGUUUUAAGGUAUACCGCGAUAUGAAAAUUUCAUGAUUAUGAAACCACUAAUAUUUUCCAAUAUACCCAUUCCUGCGCUGUUUUCCAUGUCUCCUCAAAGACUGAAAGAGGAGGAGUCCCUCAGAGAGUAACACUGACCCCUCCUCCUCCUGUCGGUGCGAGCGAGCGGUCAGUCACAUGUGUGUAGGAUGACCGAACUUAAGGCCCGGGUACACUUCACAUUCAGCUUUUCUUUCCGUCUCACGGACAGCCGCGGAUGAACUCGACACAUGUGCAGUAAUGCCUUAUUUCAACUCUCUGUUCUGGUCUUGCACAAACUGUUGCAAUGUAAUCAUUUUCCAAAAUGUCAUUUAUGUGAAAAUAUGAAGUCUGUUAACGCCCGUUAACACAGACCAGAGACGCUGAAGACGGAUGCGCAGAGAAAAAUACUGCAGCAGGCAGAUCACUCAGUGUUCAUGAUGCACAAACUACUGGAAGAAAAUCCUCA
ensembl:lncRNA